CUUUUAAAUAGUGUUUCUUCUCAUUUUUUUUCCUUAGUAAAAACCAAUUUGUAGAUAAAAAGGUUUUCUUAAAUACUGAAUCCUAAAAUUGCCUACACUAUCUUAUAGAUCCUAAAAUACAAAACACAAAAUAUAAACAAUAAAAGCCUUAUAACCAACGCCACCGUGGGGGGAGUGGAAAGGAGAAAGUCAGAAAAAUAUACAAAGCAGUGAAAGGCUGGAUGUGUGAAAGAUGCCAAAGGGGAGCGGGGGAGGGUUUCAUGAGGUUCUAGGCAAGGCCUGUGAUGACGUCACCUCACAUCCAUAAUGUUACAGCAGUCAGCACAGGCCUCCUGCUUUCCUAUUGGUGAACACCGUGUCAGCCGACAUCAGAAGAUAAUCAUCAUUGGCCAGACAAUUACAACUGGAGCAACUAGCAUCCACCGCUGUUAGCACAAACCUGGCAGGCUGCUGAAAGAGAAGGCUGAGCCCAGCUGCCCUUCUCACUCAAUGAAUUUUUAUGUCGCCUUGCCUUACCAGUCACCAUGUGAUUUUGCUUCCUUGCAAGCAGCACUUAUAAAUUAAAUCAGCUAUUAGUGAAAAUAACAGGUCACAGAAGAUGAUCAUCUGCUGCUCAUGGAGACUUCCCUUACAUGACUAACAGAAGAGGCAUAUCCCCUUCCCACCUGCAAGUCAUUUAGGAGCAAUAACACUCUUCCACCCAGAUGAGAAUAUUGAUGUUCAAAAGGAUGAGUGACUUACUCAAAGACACGAAGUUAUAAAGUGUGAAGUUCAGGAUUCUAACUCAAGACCAUUAAGAUGAAAAGACUGCAUUUUAUUUCUUCCACGAUGACAUGCAUGCUAAGAAUGUAUUCUCAUUUAACAAUUACAGAGUAUCUGCCAAGUGUGGAGAACUGUUCUAGAGGCUGGUUUUUAGGAAAUAAAGAAAUUCAUCUGCUGGA